rnacentral:rRNA from 1 species
ACGGCCGUACCAUGCUGAAUAUACCGGUUCUCGUUAGAUCACCGAAGUUAAGCAUCAUUGGGCGCGGUCAGUACUACCACCUGGGAAAACUAUAU